rnacentral:sRNA from 1 species
UAAUUAAUGUGCUACAAUAACUAUGUAGUUUUUGUUCGGUAAUCUUGGUAGUUUGUUUCAAAUAAACAUCUUCCAGAUAUUCACCAUUCAAGUAAUUGCAAAAUAUGUGUUUGAUACACAAGGAGGAUUUUUAUUAUGGAAACAGGUACAGUGAAAUGGUUUAACUCAGAAAAAGGUUUCGGUUUCAUUACAGCAGAAAACGGCAACGAUGUAUUCGUUCAUUUCUCAGCUAUCCAAGGUGAUGGAUUCAAAACUUUAGAAGAAGGCCAAACAGUAAACUUCGAUGUUGAAGAAGGUCAACGUGGCCCUCAAGCAACUAACGUUGUUAAAGCUUAAUUAACCCACUACUAAAUAAAAGCUCAGUCUGCUAGUUCCUAGCGGUCUGGGCUUU